rnacentral:rRNA from 1 species
GUUUGAUCCUGGCUCAGGAUGAACGCUAGCGACAGGCUUAACACAUGCAAGUCGAGGGGCAGCAUGAUUUGUAGCAAUACAGAUUGAUGGCGACCGGCGCACGGGUGAGUAACGCGUAUGCAACUUACCUAUCAGAGGGGGAUAGCCCGGCGAAAGUCGGAUUAAUACCCCAUAAAACAGGGGUCCCGCAUGGGAAUAUUUGUUAAAGAUUCAUCGCUGAUAGAUAGGCAUGCGUUCCAUUAGGCAGUUGGCGGGGUAACGGCCCACCAAACCGACGAUGGAUAGGGGUUCUGAGAGGAAGGUCCCCCACAUUGGUACUGAGACACGGACCAAACUCCUACGGGAGGCAGCAGUGAGGAAUAUUGGUCAAUGGCCGAGAGGCUGAACCAGCCAAGUCGCGUGAAGGAAGAAGGAUCUAUGGUUUGUAAACUUCUUUUAUAGGGGAAUAAAGCGGAGGACGUGUCCUUUUUUGUAUGUACCCUAUGAAUAAGCAUCGGCUAACUCCGUGCCAGCAGCCGCGGUAAUACGGAGGAUGCGAGCGUUAUCCGGAUUUAUUGGGUUUAAAGGGUGCGUAGGUGGUGAUUUAAGUCAGCGGUGAAAGUUUGUGGCUCAACCAUAAAAUUGCCG